rnacentral:rRNA from 1 species
CCUGGCUCAGGAUGAACGCUAGCUACAGGCUUAACACAUGCAAGUCGAGGGGCAGCAUCAUCAAAGCUUGCUUUGAUGGAUGGCGACCGGCGCACGGGUGAGUAACACGUAUCCAACCUGCCGACAACACUGGGAUAGCCUUUCGAAAGAAAGAUUAAUACCGGAUGGCAUAAUUAUUCCGCAUGGGAUAAUUAUUAAAGAAUUUCGGUUGUCGAUGGGGAUGCGUUCCAUUAGGCAGUUGGCGGGGUAACGGCCCACCAAACCUACGAUGGAUAGGGGUUCUGAGAGGAAGGUCCCCCACAUUGGAACUGAGACACGGUCCAAACUCCUACGGGAGGCAGCAGUGAGGAAUAUUGGUCAAUGGACGAGAGUCUGAACCAGCCAAGUAGCGUGAAGGAUGACUGCCCUAUGGGUUGUAAACUUCUUUUAUACGGGAAUAAAGUGAGCCACGUGUGGCUUUUUGUAUGUACCGUAUGAAUAAGGAUCGGCUAACUCCGUGCCAGCAGCCGCGGUAAUACGGAGGAUUCGAGCGUUAUCCGGAUUUAUUGGGUUUAAAGGGAGCGUAGGCGGGUUGUUAAGUCAGUUGUGAAAGUUUGCGGCUCAACCGUAAAAUUGCAGUUGAUACUGGCGACCUUGAGUGCAACAGAGGUAGGCGGAAUUCGUGGUGUAGCGGUGAAAUGCUUAGAUAUCACGAAGAACUCCGAUUGCGAAGGCAGCUUACUGGAUUGUAACUGACGCUGAUGCUCGAAAGUGUGGGUAUCAAACAGGAUUAGAUACCCUGGUAGUCCACACAGUAAACGAUGAAUACUCGCUGUUGGCGAUAUACAGUCAGCGGCCAAGCGAAAGCAUUAAGUAUUCCACCUGGGGAGUACGCCGGCAACGGUGAAACUCAAAGGAAUUGACGGGGGCCCGCACAAGCGGAGGAACAUGUGGUUUAAUUCGAUGAUACGCGAGGAACCUUACCCGGGCUUAAAUUGCAACUGACGGAACCGGAAACGGUUCUUUCUUCGGACAGUUGUGAAGGUGCUGCAUGGUUGUCGUCAGCUCGUGCCGUGAGGUGUCGGCUUAAGUGCCAUAACGAGCGCAACCCUUACGGGUAGUUACCAUCAGGUUAUGCUGGGGACUCUACCCGGACUGCCGUCGUAAGAUGUGAGGAAGGUGGGGAUGACGUCAAAUCAGCACGGCCCUUACGUCCGGGGCUACACACGUGUUACAAUGGGGGGUACAGAAGGCAGCUACACGGCGACGUGGUGCUAAUCCCAAAAGCCUCUCUCAGUUCGGAUUGGAGUCUGCAACCCGACUCCAUGAAGCUGGAUUCGCUAGUAAUCGCGCAUCAGCCACGGCGCGGUGAAUACGUUCCCGACCGUGCACACACCGCCCG